rnacentral:rRNA from 1 species
GAUGAACGCUGGCGGCGUGCCUAAUACAUGCAAGUCGAGCGAACGGACGAGAAGCUUGCUUCUCUGAUGUUAGCGGCGGACGGGUGAGUAACACGUGGAUAACCUACCUAUAAGACUGGGAUAACUUCGGGAAACCGGAGCUAAUCCCGGAUAAUAUUUUGAACCGCAUGGUUCAAAAGUGAAAGACGGUCUUGCUGUCACUUAUAGAUGGAUCCGCGCUGCAUUAGCUAGUUGGUAAGGUAACGGCUUACCAAGGCAACGAUGCAUAGCCGACCGGAGAGGGUGGUCGGCCACCCUGGAACUGAGCCACGGUCCAGACUCCUACGGGAGGCAGCAGUAGGGAAUCUGCCGCAAUGGGCGAAAGCCUGACGGAGCAACGCCGCGUGAGUGAUGAAGGUCUUCGGAUCGUAAAACUCUGUUAUUAGGGAAGAACAGAUGUGGAAGUAACUGUGCACAUCUUGACGGUACCUAAUCAGAAAGCCCCGGCUAACUACGUG